GCAUCAUGUAUCCUAGAGGGGUAUCAAAUUUAUGGCUAAGACUUUGAUGUGAAGCACUGAAGUUUAAGGAAGGAGGCUUAGCAAUGCUGACUCAAAGGAGGAGAUGGACUGCUCAAGGGUGACUUAUGAUGAGAAAACAGCAUUUAUUUUGCUACUUUUCACCUUUAGAAGAAACGGAGAUAUUUCUAAAGCCAGACUAUGGUGUUAUUUUAGUUAAAUUUGUUCCAUGCAGGAGUCUGUCCUUAGAAUUUCCUUUGGUCUUUACAAAGGAUGAAGAGGAAAAACAAGAGAGAUGUUUAUUUUAUUGAAGCUGUGAUAUGAGAGACUUUCACUUAAGAAAUCUGUUGGAGUCUGUCUUUGUUUUCUAAGACAAGGCCAUUUAAAAAUAUAUCAUGUUUUGUGUUAAAUAGUUUGAUGGCACAAAUUCAAUAAGGAUAUUGUCUAGUGUGCUCUCUGUAGGAGCUACAAAGACAACCAGGGAAAGAAGAGAUCCUUCUCUUCCUUCUCCCUGCUUUUCACUGGUAAUGGUUAAGUUCAACUGAAAGGUGUGUGAUUGAAAUAUAAUCAAAUGACCUGCUGGUGUCUCAUAAAGAAGCACUGGUUGUUUAAAUGACUAUUCAUAACAGACUUAGAUGUCUUGUAGCCGGUGAUGGUUUAAGAAUCAGAUAACAUCAAAUCAAUUCAAAUAUGGGCUUAAGCUCCUUUGAAAAAGUACAAAGAACGAAGCCAACAGCAUUGCUGGCCACUGUCUAGUGGGGGAGAGAUGAAAACAGCUCCUCUAUUUAGGACUUUUAUCAGGCCUGUCCAGGAAUCUCAACAGGAGCAGCUAUAUAGGCGUGUGGUGAGCACUACAGAAACUACAGAUACUGAAAACAGGAAAAGAUGAGACUUCUAACACAGAGACAUAGAACCACAAAUCUGUUAAGGAUGGAAAAGACUUAGACAAUCAUCUAGUCCAACCAUUCACCUGCCACCAAUAUCACUGCACAGGUGGCACACUGCCACAUAACACUGAUCUUAGAAGAUGCACUUUUCAUGUUAUCAGUAGAGGUGUAUUCAGCAAAUCUCUCAGUUGUCACCGAGAGCGAGAAAUAAAACAACAACAACAAAAAAAACCCCUUUGCUUCAGGCUCUU
rnacentral:lncRNA from 7 species